GGAGACAGGGGGAGGCGGAAAGAGCCGAAGGAUGCGAUGGGGGUGUGGCUAAAGGAUGGAUGGAAAGCCACGGGAGCCGGAGAUAGCCGAAGCGGACCAGGACCGGGUGGCUGGUUGGGGGGGUGGUGUGGGGAGAAAAACAAGGAACCGAGGCGAUCCGGAAGGAGCCGAAGGCGGCGUCCGAGGUGGGUGGCAGGAGGCGGAACUAGCCGAAAGAGGGAUUUAGACGGAAAAGGCCUAAGGGCGGAGCUUGGAAUGCGAUCGACAGAGUAAAAGAGUGAGAAAUUCGCCCAAGAGCAAGCGGGAAGAGCCGAAAGUUUUAGGUGGGAGAAUGGGAGGAAAAGGAUUCGGGCUACGAAGAGAAAAAAAAAUAACCGAAAGCUGGAGGCCGGGUGCCGUGAGUUGUAGGUUUCCGGAGAAGGGGAGGAUGGAGCAGAGCCGGUCCGGAGCUGACGUCAUUAGAGACCUCGUGCCAAGCUCUGUGAUGGACCCUGGGAACAGUUUCUACCUUCCUGGAGCUUAAAUACCGAUGAUGCCCCGGGGAGGGGGAAAAAAAAACCCAACAACAAGUUAUGGAUGAAACAACACUGGUUGAGACCUUAGACCACAUGGAGGACAGGACCCCAACCUUUCAAGCUGUGGUCUCCAGCUGGUGCCAUCUCUGAAGCUUCAGCAGGCCAUUCCAGAAUUCUAGAGGGCCAUCUGCUUUUAGGUAAUGAAGAAAAUGAGAGGGGCACCUGGGUGGCUCAGUCAGUUAAGUGUCUGCCUUGGGCUCAAGUCAUGAUCUCAGGGUCCUGGGAUUGAG